GUUGUAACUGCAGUCAGGACUCAGCAUGGACAUGAGGGCCCCUGCUCAGCUCCUCGGGCUCCUGAUGCUCUGGUUAGCAGGUGCCAGAUGUGAUAUUCAGAUGACCCAGUCUCCAUCCUCCUUGUCUGCAUCUCUGGGAGACAGAGUCACUAUCACUUGUCGGGCCAGUCAGAGUAUUACCAAAUAUUUAAACUGGUACCACCAGAAACCAGGAAAAGCUCCUAAGUGCCUGAUCCAUUAUCCAAAUGGCUUGGCAGAUGGGGUUCCAUCGAGGUUCUGUGGCAGUGGGUCUGGGACAGAUUUUUCUCUCACCAUCAGCAGCCUGGAGUCUGAAGACAUUGCAACUUAUUACUGUCUGCAAGUUUCUAAUGACCCUUCCACAGUGAUACAAGUCAUAACAUAA